rnacentral:rRNA from 1 species
AUGUAUUUACUGGUCUAUGUUGACGAUAUCAUACUCAUCAGUUCCUCAAAUGCUGCUGCAGAUCAUCUUGUGGCUGCUUUGAGCGGUGAUUUUUCUAUCAAGGAUCUAGGUGCUCUGCACUUCUUCCUUGGACUGGAGGUUUCACGGUCUUCUGCUGGGUUAACUCUUACUCAGAAGAAGUAUUCUCUGGACCUGUUGCGUCGUGCUGGCAUGCUGAAGUGUAAACCUGCCAGUACUCCGAUGUCUGCCACUGAUCGGUUGUCUGCUCUUGAUGGCGACCCUCUUUCACCCGAUGAUGCUACUGAGUACCGCAGUCUUGUUGGAGGUCGGCAAUAUCUUACUAUCACCAGACCAGAUGUCUCUUAUGCAGUCAACCGUGUCUGUCAGUUUCUCCAUGCACCCAGGACAUCUCAUUGGUCAGCUGUGAAGCAUAUCCUGCGUUAUAUCUGUCUCACAGCUUCUUAUGGUUUGCUCCUCCAACCUGCGCCGUCGUAUGAGAUCUCAGCCUUUUUCAGAUGCAGACUGGGUUGGUAG